rnacentral:rRNA from 1 species
AUUGAACGCUGGCGGCAUGCCUUACACAUGCAAGUCGAACGGCAGCACGGGAGCUUGCUCCUGGUGGCGAGUGGCGAACGGGUGAGUAAUACAUCGGAACGUACCCUGAAGUGGGGGAUAACGUAGCGAAAGUUACGCUAAUACCGCAUAUUCUGUGAGCAGGAAAGAGGGGGAUCGCAAGACCUCUUGCUUUAGGAGCGGCCGAUGUCGGAUUAGCUAGUUGGUGAGGUAAGGCUCACCCAAGGCGACGAUCCGUAGCGGGUCUGAGAGGAUGAUCGCCACACUGGGACUGAGACACGGGCCCAGACUCCUACGGGAGGCAGCA